AGCUGGCUGAGAGAGACCUGCAGGAUCAGCAGCUCAGACACCAAGCAGAGCUGCACAGUCUGAGGGAGGAGAGCCUGCAGGUGUUCAGAGUUUUUCGUCAGGCGAGCCAGGAGCGGAGGAAGGUUUCAGAGAGCCGACACAGAGGUGUGCUGCUGGAAGCUGUGCAGGAUGCCAUCUACCUGUCUGCACAAAACCAGCAACUCCAAGCUGACAAUAAACAACUCCGUAAAGCACUGGGUGAGCUGAAGGAUGCUGUAACUGUGAGCGGUGAGCCUAUGGUUGAUCUGAAAUCCACCCAACAGUGAUGAAUGUUGAUAUUGUGUAUGCAUAUGCAAGUAAAUAUAUAUUCAGCUGUGUACGCAUUCAUUUAUGGAAAUAUAUCUAUAGAAAAGAGUUGACAUAAAUGCUAAUGAGACGAUUUCUAUUGUUUUAAGGAGUACGGAGUUGGUAAAUUACAUCAUUACAGAUAUUGUGGUUUGAUUUGAUAGUAGUUUGUCAAUGGAUUAUUUUCCCCAUUUUCCACAAUUGUUCUAAAUGUUAAAGUAAAAGGAAUAUCCAAUAAAAGCAUAUAAAAUGAAAAAAACUCA
rnacentral:lncRNA from 1 species